rnacentral:rRNA from 1 species
UACAGAGGUCCCAAGCGUUGUUCGGAUUCACUGGGCGUAAAGGGUGCGUAGGUGGUGAGGUAAGUCGGAUGUGAAAUCUCCGAGCUCAACUCGGAAACUGCAUUGGAAACUACCUUGCUCGAGGGUUGGAGGGGGGACUGGAAUGCUUGGUGUAGCAGUGAAAUGCGUAGAUAUCAAGCGGAACACCAGUGGCGAAGGCGAGUCCCUGGACAACUCCUGACACUGAUGCACGAAAGCUAGGGGAGCAAACAGC